rnacentral:rRNA from 1 species
AUUCCACUGGAGGGCAAGUUUGGUGUUAGUAGCCGCGGUAAUUCCAGCUCCAGUAGCGUAUAUUAAAGUUGUUGCAGUUAAAAAGCUCGUAGUUGGAUUUUUGGUCUGACAUGCCUGGCCCGCCGGGGUUACCCGUGUGAGUGCCGGUGCGCGUCUACCAUCCUUCUGGAAAACGGCCUUACCCUUUAUUGGGCCGAGGUCGCGACCCAGAUCUUUUAUUUUGAAAAAAUUAGAGUGUUUAAAGCAGGCUUACGCUAUGAAUACAUUAGCAUGGAAUAAUAAUUUAGGACUUCGGUCUCUAUUUUGUUGGUUUCUAGAGCUGAAGUAAUGAUUGAUAGGGAUAGUUGGGGGUGCUAGUAUUCAUCGGCCAGAGGUGAAAUUUUUGGAUUCGAUGAAGACUAAUUUAUGUGAAAGCAUUCACCAAGGAUGUCUUCUUUAAUCAAGAACGAAAGUUGGGGGAUCGAAGACGAUUAGAUAUCGUCGUAGUCUCAACCUUAAACUAUACCGACUAAGGAUAAGUGAAUGUUGUAUUUUCGACUUCAUUUGCACUUUAUGAGAAAUCAAAGUCUUUGGGUUCCGGGGGGAGUAUGGUCGUAAGGCUGAAACUUAAAGGAAUUGACGGAAGGGCACCACCAGGAGUGGAGCCUGCGGCUUAAUUUGAUUAACAUGGGAAAACUUACCAGGUCCAGACAUAGUGAGGAUUGAUAGAUUGAAGAUCUUUUUUGAUUCUAUGGGUGGUGGUGUAUGGCCGUUCUUAGUUGGUGGAGUGAUUUGUUUGGUUAAUUCCGUUAACGAAUGAGACCUCGACCUGCUAAAUAGUUCGGCGUACCUUUGGGUACGUAUGUGACUUCUUAGAGGGACUAUCGGUUUGUAGCCGGUGGAAGUUCGAGGCAAUAACAGGUCUGUGAUGCCCUUAGAUGUUUUGGGCCGCACGCGCGCUACACUGAUGGGUUUAUUGAGUUUACAACCUUGACUGAGAGGUCUGGGUAAUCUUCUCAAAUCCCAUCGUGCUGGGGAUAGAUUAUUGUAAUUAUUAAUUUUUAAUGAGGAAUUUUUAGUAAGCGCAAGUUAUAGCUUGCAUUGAUUACGUCCCUGCCCUUUGUACACACCGCCCGUCGCUGCUACCGAUUGAAUGGCUUAGUGAGCUUCAGGGACUGAUGUGUUUGGUUGGUUUGUCCUUCCUUGCAUAUUGGGAACUGAAUCAAACUUGAUCAUUUAGAGGAAGCAAAAGUUGUAAUAAGGUAUCCGUAGGUGAAUCUGCGGAUG